GUAUGUUCUUAGCCAGGCAGCGUGUGAAGGGAAAGUAUGUCCUUAACCAGGCAGCGUGUGAAGGUGAAGUGUGUUCUUAACCAGGCAGCGUGUGAAGGUGAAGUGUGUCCUUAACCAGGCAGCGUGUGAAGGUGAAGUGUGUGCUUAACCAGGCAGCGUGUGAAGGUGAAGUAUGUUCUUAACCGGGCAGCGUGUGAAGGUGAAAUAUGUUCUUAACCGGGCAGCGUGUGAAGGUGAAGUGUGUUCUUAGCCGGGCAGCGUGUGAAGGUGAAGUGUGUUCUUAACCAGGCAGCGUGUGAAGUUGAAGUAUGUUCUUAGCCAGGCAGCGUGUGAAGGUGAAGUGUGUUCUUGACCAGGCAGCGUGUGAAGGUGAAGUGUGUUCUUAACCGGGCAGCGUGUGAAGGUGAAGUGUGUUCUUAACCAGGCAGCGUGUGAAGUUGAAGUGUGUCCUUAACCAGGCAGCGUGUGAAGGUGAAGUGUGUCCUUAACCAUGGCAGCGUGUGAAGUAUGUUCUUAACCAGGCAGCGUGUGAAGGUGAAGUAUGUUCUGGAGAGCCCGUUUCAGCCUCCUGUGACACAGGUAGAGUGACUGUGCUCUGAAGACACCGUCUCACAGCCCAGCAUAGCUUGUCUACUAGCCUCGUGUCUGGAGGAUGCAGGUGUGCCCCCUGCGCACCUCCCCCCGUACCUCUUUCUGCAAAGAAGCGGAAGUUACACCCGCCAAAACUAAAAACGCUUCAGAUUGAAGUUACUCAAAAAGGGGAGGACUAUGGUCUUGAGAAACAUGUAAUAAGAUAAGUUCCAGAGCUGUAACAAUUUAAUGUUAUUUUAAUGUGAUUGUGCAGUCCACCUUAACUCUUGAAACAUAAUAGAACCGGGGUUUGGGGAAUGGUCCGGUGGAGAGCUGCUCAAUAUGCACAUGCCUGGGGUCAGCCUCCGGCAGUACCGCCAUCUGUAAUGAACGGAUAUGAAGUAGAAAAUGCCUGCUAUACAAUAAAAAUAACAAUAACAAA